GAUGAACGCUGGCGGCGUGCCUAAUACAUGCAAGUCGAGCGAACGGACGAGAAGCUUGCUUCUCUGAUGUUAGCGGCGGACGGGUGAGUAACACGUGGAUAACCUACCUAUAAGACUGGGAUAACUUCGGGAAACCGGAGCUAAUACCGGAUAAUAUUUUGAACCGCAUGGUUCAAUAGUGAAAGACGGUCUUGCUGUCACUUAUAGAUGGAUCCGCGCUGCAUUAGCUAGUUGGUAAGGUAACGGCUUACCAAGGCAACGAUGCAUAGCCGACCUGAGAGGGUGAUCGGCCACACUGGAACUGAGACACGGUCCAGACUCCUACGGGAGGCAGCAGUAGGGAAUCUUCCGCAAUGGGCGAAAGCCUGACGGAGCAACGCCGCGUGAGUGAUGAAGGUCCUCGGAUCGUAAAACUCUGUUAUUAGGGAAGAACAUAUGUGUAAGUAACUGUGCACAUCUUGACGGUACCUAAUCAGAAAGCCACGGCUAACUACGUG
rnacentral:rRNA from 1 species